rnacentral:rRNA from 1 species
AAAUCAAGGCUGAGGCGUGAUGACGAGGCACUACGGUGCUGAAGCAACAAAUGCCCUGCUUCCAGGAAAAGCCUCUAAGCAUCAGGUAACAUCAAAUCGUACCCCAAACCGACACAGGUGGUCAGGUAGAGAAUACCAAGGCGCUUGAGAGAACUCGGGUGAAGGAACUAGGCAAAAUGGUGCCGUAACUUCGGGAGAAGGCACGCUGAUAUGUAGGUGAAGUCCCUCGCGGAUGGAGCUGAAAUCAGUCGAAGAUACCAGCUGGCUGCAACUGUUUAUUAAAAACACAGCACUGUGCAAACACGAAAGUGGACGUAUACGGUGUGACGCCUGCCCGGUGCCGGAAGGUUAAUUGAUGGGGUUAGCGGUAACGCGAAGCUCUUGAUCGAAGCCCCGGUAAACGGCGGCCGUAACUAUAACGGUCCUAAGGUAGCGAAAUUCCUUGUCGGGUAAGUUCCGACCUGCACGAAUGGCGUAAUGAUGGCCAGGCUGUCUCCACCCGAGACUCAGUGAAAUUGAACUCGCUGUGAAGAUGCAGUGUACCCGCGGCAAGACGGAAAGACCCCGUGAACCUUUACUAUAGCUUGACACUGAACAUUGAGCCUUGAUGUGUAGGAUAGGUGGGAGGCUUUGAAGUGUGGACGCCAGUCUGCAUGGAGCCGACCUUGAAAUACCACCCUUUAAUGUUUGAUGUUCUAACGUUGACCCGUAAUCCGGGUUGCGGACAGUGUCUGGUGGGUAGUUUGACUGGGGCGGUCUCCUCCUAAAGAGUAACGGAGGAGCACGAAGGUUGGCUAAUCCUGGUCGGACAUCAGGAGGUUAGUGCAAUGGCAUAAGCCAGCUUGACUGCGAGCGUGACGGCGCGAGCAGGUGCGAAAGCAGGUCAUAGUGAUCCGGUGGUUCUGAAUGGAAGGGCCAUCGCUCAACGGAUAAAAGGUACUCCGGGGAUAACAGGCUGAUACCGCCCAAGAGUUCAUAUCGACGGCGGUGUUUGGCACCUCGAUGUCGGCUCAUCACAUCCUGGGGCUGAAGUAGGUCCCAAGGGUAUGGCUGUUCGCCAUUUAAAGUGGUACGCGAGCUGGGUUUAGAACGUCGUGAGACAGUUCGGUCCCUAUCUGCCGUGGGCGCUGGAGAACUGAGGGGGGCUGCUCCUAGUACGAGAGGACCGGAGUGGACGCAUCACUGGUGUUCGGGUUGUCAUGCCAAUGGCACUGCCCGGUAGCUAAAUGCGGAAGAGAUAAGUGCUGAAAGCAUCUAAGCACGAAACUUGCCCCGAGAUGAGUUCUCCCUGACUCCUUGAGAGUCCUGAAGGAACGUUGAAGACGACGACGUUGAUAGGCCGGGUGUGUAAGCGCAGCGAUGCGUUGAGCUAACCGGUACUAAUGAACCGUGAGGCUUAACCUUACAAC